CCCUUAGACGUUCUGGGCCGCACGCGCGCUACACUGACCAGUGCAACAAGCAUCCGUCCUUGGCCGACAGGCUCGGGCAAUCUUUGAACGCUGGUCGUGAUGGGGAUAGACUUUUGCAAUUUUUGGUCUUCAACGAGGAAUUCCUAGUAAACGCAAGUCAUCAACUUGCAUUGAUUACGUCCCUGCCCUUUGUACACACCGCCCGUCGCACCUACCGAUUGAAUGGUCCGGUGAAGCCUCCGGAUUGGCGCGCACCUCGGUGCCGCCGAGAAGUUGGCUAAACCUNANCAUUUANAGGAAGGUGANGUCGUNACA
rnacentral:rRNA from 1 species